rnacentral:rRNA from 1 species
GACUACAGGGGUAUCUAAUCCCGUUCGCUCCCCACGCUUUCGCUCCUCAGUGUCAGGUAAUGUCCAGAGGACUGUCUUCACCAUUGGCGUUCCUUACGAUAUCUACGCAUUUCACUGCUACACCGUAAGUUCCAUCCUCCCCUACAUACCUCUAGCCGUGCAGUUUUAGAUACAGUUCUUCGGUUGAGCCGAAGUAUUUAAUAUCUAACUUACACAACCACCUACGAGCUCUUUACGCCCAAUAAAUCCGGAUAACGUUUGCACCCUACGUAUUACCGCGGCUGCUGGCACGUAGUUAGCCGGUGCUUAUUCAUCUGGUACCUUCAUGAUUAUUCCCAGAUAAAAGAAGUUUACGAUCCGAGAACCUUCAUCCUUCACGCAGUGUUGCUGCAUCAGGCUUUCGCCCAUUGUGCAAAAUUCCCCACUGCAGCCCCCCGUAGG